UACGUAGGGUGCGAGCGUUGUCCGGAAUUACUGGGCGUAAAGAGCUCGUAGGUGGUUUGUCGCGUUGUUCGUGAAAACUCACGGCUUAACUGUGAGCGUGCGGGCGAUACGGGCAGACUGGAGUACUGCAGGGGGAGACUGGAAUUCCUGGUGUAGCGGUGGAAUGCGCAGAUAUCAGGAGGAACACCGGUGGCGAAGGCGGGUCUCUGGGCAGUAACUGACGCUGAGACGCGAAAGCGUGGGGGAGCAAACAGG
rnacentral:rRNA from 1 species